GCGCAGGAAAAGAAACCAACAGGGAUUGCCCUAGUAACGGCGAGUGAAGCGGCAACAGCUCAAAUUUGAAAUCUGGUCCUUCGGGGCCCGAGUUGUAAUUUGCAGAGGAUGCUUUUGGCGCGGUGCCUUCCGAGUGCCCUGGAACGGGACGCCACAGAGGGUGAGAGCCCCGUAUGGUUGGACACCAAGCCUAUGUAAAGCUCCUUCGACGAGUCGAGUAGUUUGGGAAUGCCGCUCAAAAUGGGAGGUAAACCCCUUCUAAAGCUAAAUACUGGCCAGAGACCGAUAGCGCACAAGUAGAGUGAUCGAAAGAUGAAAAGCACUUUGAAAAGAGAGUUAAAAGCACGUGAAAUUGUUGAAAGGGAAGCGUUUGCGACCAGACUUGCGCCCGUCGAAUCAGCCGUCCCUCGUGGGCGGUGCACUUCGGCGGGCUCAGGCCAGCAUCAGUUUACUGCAGGGGGAGAAAGGCGCUGGGAAUGUGGCUCCUCGGAGUGUUAUAGCCCGGCGCGUAAUACCCCUCGGUGGACUGAGGACCGCGCGAAAGCAAGGAUGCUGGCGUAAUGGUCGUCAGCGACCCGUCUUGAAACACGGACCAAGGAGUCGUCCUAAUAUGCGAGUGUUUGGGUGUCAAACCCCAGCGCGUAAUGAAAGUGAACGGAGGUGAGAGCUUCGGCGCAUCAUCGACCGAUCCUGAUGUUCUCGGAUGGAUUUGA
rnacentral:rRNA from 1 species